rnacentral:rRNA from 1 species
GACGAACGCUGGCGGCGUGCUUAACACAUGCAAGUCGAGCGGUAAGGCUCCUUCGGGAGUACACGAGCGGCGAACGGGUGAGUAACACGUGAGCAACCUGCCCUUCUCAUGGGAAUAAGCGUUGGAAACGACGUCUAAUGCCGAAUACGACUUCGGAAGGCAUCUUCUGAAGUGGAAAGCUCCGGCGGAGAAGGAUGGGCUCGCGGCCUAUCAGCUAGUUGGUGAGGUAACGGCCCACCAAGGCGACGACGGGUAGCCGGCCUGAGAGGGUGACCGGCCACACUGGGACUGAGACACGGCCCAGACUCCUACGGGAGGCAGCAGUGGGGAAUAUUGGACAAUGGGCGCAAGCCUGAUCCAGCAACGCCGCGUGAGGGAUGACGGCCUUCGGGUUGUAAACCUCUUUCAGCAGGGACGAGGCGAAAGUGACGGUACCUGCAGAAGAAGGACCGGCCAACUACGUGCCAGCAGCCGCGGUAAUACGUAGGGUCCGAGCGUUGUCCGGGAUUAUUGAGCGUAAAAGGCUCGUAGGCGGUUUGUCGCGUCGGGAGUGAAAACUCAGGGCUCAACCCUGAGCGUGCUUCCGAUACGGGCAGACGUAGAGGUAGUGCAGGGGGAGAACGGAAUUCCUGGUGUAGCGGUGGAAUGCGCAGAUAUCAGGAGGAACACCGGUGGCGAAGGCGGUUCUCUGGGCAUUNGACGCUGAGGAGCG